UACAUUUUAUUUAAAAAAAAUAAAAAUAAGAUUGAUGAACUUCCUGACUUUUUUGUAAAAAUACCACGACUGUAAUACCUGUUUAUUUAUUCAUAUUGGAACCAAACACACAAGGGACUUCAACCAUUAUUUGCAAAGGUAUCCAUCUUAUUUUCAUACAGACAAAUGGACCAUAGGCCUAACUGUCACAUUGUCAGGAAUCUUGUUACUUACUUGCCUGUAGCACAAUACAUAGUUGAGUACAAAGUAUAAAAACAACAUAUAAAACAGAUCAUUCUAAGUAUUUUUCUGCCAACCAGCAGCUAUUUUUAUUUUUAUUUCAGGCACAUUAGAAAUUAUAUUUUAUACACAAUUGUACAAAAAUGAAUGUCUAUUACUCUAAUAUUAGCACCAGAUGAAAUCAGGUAAUACUCUCUCUCUCUCUCUCUCUCUCACACACACACACACACACACACACACACACACACACACACACACACACACACACACACACACACACACACACACACACACACACACACAGGUGCAAGGAAAUGGGAGAGGAAAUGCAUGAGGCUUAGAGGAAGUCGAGGAAGUCAGUGGGAUUGACUUCCUGUAGUGUCUGAAUCAGCCCUGAUGAGCUCAGCUGUUUGGUCGCCCACAAAGACAACCCUGGUCAUAGCACAGCCCUAACUGUGGUUCUGCUGUGGUCAUAACACCACCCUAACUGUGGUUCUGCUGUGGUCAUAACACCACCCUAACUGUGGUUCUGCUGUGGUCAUAACACCACCCUAACUGGUUCUGCUGUGGUCAUAACACCACCCUAACUGGUUCUGCUGUGGUCAUAACACCACCCUAACUGGUUCUGCUGUGGUCAUAACACAGCCCUAACUGUGGUUCUGCUCUGGUCAUAACACCACCCUAACUGUGGUUCUGCUCUGGUCAUAGCACAGCCCUAACUGUGGUUCUGCUGUGGUCAUAACACAGCCCUAACUGUGGUUCUGCUGUGGUAAUAACACCAUCCUAACUGUGGUUCUGCUCUGGUCAUAGCACAGCCCUAACUGUGGUUAUGCUGGGGUCAUAACACACCCCUAACUGUUGUUCUGCUGUGGUCAUAGCACAGCCCUAACUGUGGUUCUGCUGUGGUCAUAACACUAACCUAACUGUGGCUCUGCUGGGGUCAUAACCAAGGCUGCAUACCAGGGCCAGAUUAAUGCAGGGGCUUACCGGGUUUGAAGCCCCUUGGCCCAGGGCCAUGGGGGGCCCAAAAGGCAGCAAAAAAAGAAAUGCAAAAUAAAAUAAUUAUAUACUGCAUAUAUUAUAUAUACAGUAUCUGUUAUAUACGUCAAAUAUAGAUAUUUUUUACUGCAACCGCCAACCAGUUAAAUAAAGGUUAAAUAAAAAAUAAAACAAUUUUAAACACAGGACGAUUCAGGAGCCUGCUCUCAAUGAGAGUAGACAGCCUGAUGCUGCUCUGCUAAUCGUCAGAUGGGGGGAGGAGAAGAGGUAGGGGAGCACAUGGGGUAACUGGGGGGCCCUGCCUUGAUUGGUAACUGCAUAAUAAAUACAUGUGACUGGCCAAUUAGGGCGCCAAAGAGGCAAUCAUUUAAAUGUAUAUAAUAACAUAACUUAAAAAAACCACAACCACAGGAGCCCGCUCUCAAUGUUCAAAAUACACCAGAGAUCAUCAUUUAGCCACAGAUGAUCAAUAUUUUUUUUAAAACAACUGGAUUAAAUUUGAUCACAACCAAAAUAAAGGAAACACCAGCGUAGUGUCUUAAAAGGGUGUUUGGCCACCACGAGCUUCCACAACAGCUUCAAUGCUCCUUGGCUUAGAGUCUAUAAGUGGACCUAAACCAUGCCAGGAAAAUGUGCCCCACAGUAUGACAUAUUAUUUGUAGCCCUCAUUUACUCAAGUGUUUCCUUUAUUUUGGCAGUUACUGGUUGCCUACAGUCGGGAAGGCCGCGAUUUGGCCAGUAUGCGCGCCAGAUAUACAGCUUGUUGCGUUUGUGGUCAUAGACAUAUAAUCCACAGAGUUUUGGAACCUCUUACCCUGGCAAUUUGACUAUUCAACUGAUGGGUACACUAGCAAUGGCUGCCAGUCCUGAUUUUAAUGGACAUUUAUAUGGAUUAUAUUUCUAUGGUUGGUUGUAGCUAUCUGUUUGACUUGUGCAAAUUUCAAAAGACAAUUGCAGGAAAAAUGUAAAGUUUGGAAAGCAAAUACAUACCACUGAAAAGAGAAGACUAGUCUAUCUGUAGAACCAAUAGAACAACUCCCAGCAACAGCAGCACUGUUUUUCAAAGUAGCUCAAGAUGAGCUGUUGCCAAGAGGAGCGCAUCGGCCAUAACCAUGAGUAGUAUCCUAUGGCUACAUCUUCAUCAUUAGGUGAGUCAGUGUGCCACUACUGUAGCCUAUAAUAUAUAUAUA
rnacentral:lncRNA from 1 species